CCGGGCUGGGGCUGGGGGUGCUCGGCCGGUCUUGCAGGCCCCGUCGGCCACCCGCGCCCUUGGUCCCGCCUCGGAGCCUCGGCCCCAGCUCCGGCCCCGACACGGGAGCUGCUCUUCCCUCGCGGAAGCGGUGCCGCCUGGCCCGCGGCAGCGCAGACGCCCUGCCUUGCCCUCAGGCUGGCCGGGCCGCCUGUGGCCGGAGAAAGCCCCAUUGUGGCCUGAGUGCGCCCCGCAGCCAGUCGGGAUUUCUCUCGCAGAGAGAGGCCUUUGUUCGCCUCACCCCAUCUGACUGCCCCGUGCUCUGUCCCAGCCUCAUUUGCUCCCCAAGCCCCAACCUGGGUUCCUGCUCUGGCAACAAGGAGCAGGUGGCAGCAAGGGGCGUUUUCGCGCCCCUCCCCCUAAUCACCCAGGAAAUCUCUGAGCUUGGCCACCUGCCCUGGGGGAGGAGACGCGAGGCCUGCGCACCCCACUCUGCUUCAUCCCUGGUUGCUCUCCCCACUCCUGUGGCCCCUCCGCCGGCGUUUGUGCUGUGUGACAUCCCUCUCCUCCACCGCUGCCUGGGGUUGGGGGCAGUCGGGGCAGUCAGGCCAGGCCAGGCCACCCCUGGGUGAAGAGGGCAUUGGGGCCAGAAGGGUCUGCACUGACCACCUCCAAGUUUCUGUUCUUAGGCUGUUCCCGCCGCAGCAGAAUAUAAAGUGCUGAAGCCAGAACCCAGACUGGGACGCAAGGCCCAGAACCUGCGCAGGGGCCACCGGCAAUCGGCCACCAUGCCCCUGCCCUGCUGUGCCUCGACUUACCCAUCUGCUGCUGGGGUAAUCCUAACCAUCUCUUACUGAGGGACCCUGAGUGCCUUGUUCAAGUUCAGUGUGGUGAGCCCAUUGGUGGGAGGUGUUUUUCCUCCCCAAAGACUGUAUUUUGAAAAGUACUAAUAAAAUACAGGAGGGUCUAGCCAGAGGGUGGGCUGACAGCUUCCGAAGCAGAUGGCUGCCCCGUCGCUGCACUCAAGGCCGGGCCUUGCUAAUGCUUUCCCAGAUGCAUAUCUUCACAGACAAGAGUAAAUACCACGUAAAGAGACCUGGGUCUAAGGAGGUGACUUGGGAAAACCACUAGACUCUGACUUGUCCUUGCGUCUUGAACCUGCCUG
rnacentral:lncRNA from 1 species